rnacentral:ncRNA from 1 species
AACGAUGCGAGAAGGCAGUUGGGAACCGGUUUCAACAUUCUAAAGAGAGAGCUGGCGGGUGGUGCAAGCCAGCCUAGAUAUCGCUGAACUCGCCUCUGAGCUGAGUCUCCGAGCAGGAAGUAAGAGACUCCGUCUUGCCUCCGUAAGAGGCAGAAAGAAGGGUUUGAAGGUCAGGCGAUCUUCAGGCUAAAUCAGGGUGGUACCACGGAGUGCCUCAAGCCUUCGUCCCUGGG